CGUGAGAUGUUGGGUUAAGUCCCGCAACGAGCGCAACCCUCGCCCUUAGUUGCCAUCAUUCAGUUGGGCACUCUAAGGGGACUGCCGGUGAUAAGCCGAGAGGAAGGUGGGGAUGACGUCAAGUCCUCAUGGCCCUUACGGGCUGGGCUACACACGUGCUACAAUGGUGGUGACAGUGGGCAGCGAGACCGCGAGGUCGAGCUAAUCUCCAAAAGCCAUCUCAGUUCGGAUUGCACUCUGCAACUCGAGUGCA
rnacentral:rRNA from 1 species